UACGUAGGGGGCGAGCGUUGUCCGGAGUUACUGGGCGUAAAGCGCUUGUAGGCGGUCCACCAAGUUUGGGGUGACAGUUGCCGACUUAAUCGGCAAAGUGCCUCAAAGACUGGCGGACUUGAGGGCCACAGAGGGACAUGGAACUCCAGGUGUAGUGGUGAAAUGCGUAGAUAUCCGGAGGAAUACCAAAGGCGAAGGCAGUGUUCUGGGUGGUACCUGACGCUCAGGGGCGAAAGCUAGGGGAGCGAACGGG
rnacentral:rRNA from 1 species